GACGAACGCUGGCGGCGUGCUUAACACAUGCAAGUCGAACGGAAAGGCCUGCUUUCCCUUCUUGUGUUCUUGUACUCGAAUGGCGAACUGGUGAGUAACACAUGAGUCAUCUACCCCCAACUUGCGUCUAAACCUCGGAAACUGGACCUAAUUCCCUAUAGGACCGCAGGGUUCAGCCUUUGGUGGCAAACUUUUUUUUACUGGUUGGGGAUGAGCUCGCGGCCUAUCAGCUUGUUGGUGGGGUAGUUUCCCACCAAGACGGCGACGGGUAGCCGGCCUGAGAGGGUGGACGGCCACAUUGAGACUGGGUGCAGGCCCAGACUCCUACGGGAGGCAGGAGUGGGGAAUAUGAGACAAUGAGCGGGAGCCUGAUGCGGCGAGGCCGCGUGGGGGAUGACGGCAUUGGGGUUGUAAGCUCCUUUCGACCGCGAGGAGGGCACCUGGUUGGAAGGGUGGUGACGGUAGUGGUAGAAGAAGCACCGGCUAACUACGUG
rnacentral:rRNA from 1 species